CUGGCAGAGAGGUCAUUUUUUUUUUUACAAACUUUGUUGAUUGUUUAUUUUUAAGGUGAGUAGUACGAGAGAAUUAGCAAAGCGUCUCUGCAAGAUUUGGUUAGAUUUGUACCUUAGAGUAAAUAUAAUGCUGGAUGGAAAUCUGUUACUGGAAUAGUACAAACAGGAAUCAAUAAGGAAAGUAUGUAAUAGGUGGUAAAUCAAGUCAUAAUGUAAAACAAAGCAAACCAAACAAACAAAAAAUGUAAGUGCUUCUAUUGCCAAAUAACAACGUUGAGUGUUCUCAAGAAGCAGAAAUGUAAGUGCUUAUAGUGUCUGGUUUCCCUGGCGCCAUCCUUCCACUCAGUGGUAAACCAUUUGUUAAAUGAGAGUCCUCAGCAGCAGCCAACCCCUUCUGUGCUGACCAGGCUAAUGAGGACGCAUUAGAAUCAGACUGAGCAGCAAUGGGUCACUGUGAUUGGCUGAGAUUAUCAGCUGGCCACUUUCAGCCUUUAAAAGUCACCACUGCGGUAAGAAUUUGUAUGGCUACAACAAAGUAUCCAAUCUCUACCUUAGCAAUACUUCCAGUGGGG